GCCGGUGUCCCGGCGGCGGUGACACGCCACGCGCGCCGCUGCGCGCUCCCUCGCUCGCUCGAGACUUGGGUUUGUCCAGCCGCUUUCCCCGGGCUCGGCAGGUGGUAGAUGAAACGUGCUUCGUUUGCUUCGCGCCCCGUCCAGCUCGUCCCUUCGCGCAGAGCCACCGGCGUUUCCGUGGACUCGUUAACCUCGCCGUCACCUCAGGUGGUCGGGGGGAGACUUGAGGGCUCGCAAAAGUCCGCGUGACUUGUUCGAAGUACUUGGUGCUAGCAAAAAAGACGAGGAUUGCUGGGAAACCGCGAUGCUUUGCAGGGUAGGGUGGGGAUUUUCUUGUCUUGUUUUACCCGCAUCAUUUGUAUUGACACCUAAGCAUGAAUUCUGUGAGAGUGUUUGUGAGUUGGGAGAGAGGUCAAGGUGGAUCCGGCUUAAGGUAACAACAAAUGUAACUUGCAGUUGGUAGCACAGGUAUUUUGCAACAGACAAAUAUUUUUGUGCUGAUUUAGGGCCUCAUAGGAUUUAGCUGUUGGAGCCACUGGAUUUCUGCUUUGUCUGUAGCGUGGUUCUGCCCUUGGACAAGUCAACACUGUUCUGUGGCACUGGCUUCACCAGGACAAAAGUUAGGGUGUGAACAAAAGUGGUCCUUGGGCUGAGGCUUCAUAAAAGAAGGUUUGGUCUGACGGUUUUAAUGGCACAGGCGAAGACCUUUGGAAAAGAGCUUUUAUCAUGGAAACCAAGUGUCUGUAAGAAUUAACUAAACCAGCAUCAUUUAGAAAAAAAAAGUUUCUGAGAAUGCAGAAAGACUUUCUUCUUCGUUUCCGCUCAAGUGAGAACAAGUUAGGGAAGUGCUGGCAAAAAAAAGUGCAAUGAAAGAGGGAUCCAUCCAGUGAAAAAAAUGAGACAAGUUCCUGAUUUUUAUUUUAUUUUAUUUUUUCAGUCCACUACUGAAGAAAUAGCAUGACUGUUUCAAGUUUCCUUUUAUUAUGCUUCAGGCUUUCUUGGAAAAAAAACAUUUUCUUUGUGUCUUAUUUUUCCUUCUCUGUAAUGUGGGGAUACUUUGUAUAAAACUCUGUUCAAUGAAGUUUGAGUAAACAUGGUUUAAGAAACGUUUUUCAGAAUUCUACACAGAAGGCAGCGUGUUAAUGAAAAACAUUUUUUAAAUGAACAUAGCAUUACAAUAACAAUGUCUGGUCUUCCUAUGUUUCUCAUUAAGAGUUCCUACAUUUCUGUACAUGUAGUUUGUUCUCUGGGCUACACGAGCUAGCAGUACUGUUUGUUGUUGUUGGCUGUCCCGCUCUGUUCCAGGGAUGGCACACUUUUCUCUCUCUGGUGUUGUUGUAGUACUGUCACCACUGCCAACCCACAGCUAUCAGGGCUGUGUUUGGCUGUGGUGCCAGUUGUUUGCCAUCACUGCCUUAUUUCGUGUCGUAUCCAUAAUGGCUAUUAGUAGUGCUCCGUCGUGUUGGGAAAAGAAUGUGUACUUCAUCUGUUUGGUGUCGAAUACGUGUAUCGGAAGGUAAUAAAGCAACAGUGUCAUCACACAUACUGGUUUCUCAAUCUGACAGUGCACCUCCCAUUAAUUGUCUUUAGCAUGCAAUUAUAGUGUUUCCGGUAUGUGUCAAAACUGCUCUCUCUUCCAGAGUUUAGUGUAGGAUGCUCUCUCCCUUUUCAUCUAUACAAUAUCAGGCAGGCCGGUGAAGCCUAGUAGUGAAGUUGCACACAUUUUUGCUGGUCUGUAAUAAACUGGUCGGUAUCUAUUUGUAAACCUUCCACAACUUGUAUACUAUUUUUAAAAAAGUUUUCUGCAAUCUUUUGCAGUACCCAUUUUUUUCCCAGUUUUCUGUUGUCAAAUGUGUUUUCUGUUCUGCCAAAACUAUUUGUUGUACUUGUGGUGUAUUUAGGACAGGAUUUGGUUUUCUUUUUUAAAGAUGCAUUGUACAUUGUCCCUUUUUGUGAAAAGAAUACUUAAGAGUAUUCAUUAGGUUUAUCCUUUGACGUUCUCUAGGUAACCAAGCCAUUCUUCAUAUAAAUUGGCAAAUUUCUUUGUAUUUCUUUUCUGAAGCAUUAAUCAUCUUAUUAUUGUUAUGAAGAUAGGCUGAUGUCAUCACAGAUAAGUGCUUUUUCUAUGGCUGUGAUACUUUAUCUUGUUAGCCUAAAGAUUCCCCUACAGAGUUUAAGCAAUGAAAAAUAAUUAUGUGGUUAGCAAAGAGCAACAAUUCCAGUUUUUUGUAUACAUAUUACAUAUUUUGUAACUGAGUAUUCAGCUAUUCUUACUGCUGUUGGUCAUCCAGGCCUGUGAAUGUAUUUGACAUUAAAGGAGUCUUACUGUUGAACUAGGACUUAAAAAAAACUUUCAGCAAUAUUUGACUGGCUCUACCCUAUCCAAGGGGAGGAAAAAAAACAAGAAAUGUGCUUCCAGGUUUUGUACCUUACACUAUGGUUAGGUUUUGAUUCAGAGAAAGUGCCUCAAAGGAACAGAACGUAUUUCUUUUUUACACUCAAAAUAAGAAGCACCUACUGUAGAAAGGGCAUGUUGUACUAAACCUGCUGCGGUAGAGGUGAGUGUUCUCAAGUCUGACAGUUUAAGUAGUGAAGAUGAAAGUGAGGACAGUUCUUGGGCAGGGGACUUAAAGAGGAAUGUGAUUCAUAGGACAUAGUUACCAGCGUAAUUACCAGUGCAGCUGCUAUAGUAACUUCUGCCAGUACUAAAAAAAAAUCUGUCAUGUCCAGUGCUCUGUCGGUUGUAGCGUAAGUGAUAGAGAAAAGCAGAAGCAUAAUAUCUUGUUCCAAACUUGCCAACUUCAAACCGGUGUAAACAGAUGGGGCUAUUUCUGUUAAGUUUUAUAUCAAAGCUUCACAGGGUUUCCUUAAGUGUUGGGUUGCACUAAAAUUUUGGAAUUAGAGAUGGUAAGUUUUUUUGUUUGUGUUUUGCAUAAAUAGUAAUGAAAGCAGAGAUUCAGGUGGACUGAAUUUUUCUGAUAAUGAGUCAAAUCUGGCAAAUUCAGGCAAGAAAUAAAAAACCUAAAUUUAAUUUAAAACUUAAACCUAAUGUACAUUUAUUUCUGUAUUGUGAUAAGUAGGAAUUUUCAACUUUUCUUUGUGAUGAUAUUUUCUAUUUGUCACUUCCUUAAAAUGUAGGUCAAAUUUUUGAAGUAGUAAUAUUUUUUCCAGUUUUGAGUGAAACAUUUCAGAUCUGUUCCAAAAUGGAAUUUGGGGGUAAGAAGAUCUUGGAAAAAAAUGGGGGUGAGGGAAUAAUCUGCUAGACCCAGGCUUCUUUCAUGCACAUUUCUAGUUCAAAUGAGAAAAAAUAUUGGGGGGACAGUUUUGAAAUACUCACCAUAAAAAAAUUUUUCUUAUUUUCUCACAUUAACAUAUCAUGCAUCAUCAGAACUCACUUUUCCAGCACGCAAAUGAUAAACGCAAUUUCUACUUGAAGUGAAUUGCCAAAGUUUAUACAACAGGCUAGCAUCAAAGAUGGAUCUAGAACGCAGGAACCCUGAAAUUUAUAGGCAGAGCAGAUCUAUUUAACUCUCUAGCCCCUACAACUGCAUUAACAUCAUAAAAUUUCAUCUUUGCAGUAGAAAUAAUUGUUCUGCCCCAUGUAAGAAAAUGCUUGGCUUCCUUCCUAGCCAUUUAGAGUAUCAUCUACACACAGACACACGUGUGCGUGUGGGGAAGCCUCCUUGAUUUCAUUGUCUUCCUCAUGCUUUUAAAGGAAUUGCAAGAUCUUUCUGCACAUAACUUUUCACUUGGCUGUCACUUUAUUUUUGUCAUCUCCACCUCCUGUUUCUUAAGAACUCACCCCCUUUAGUUUGUUUGGCAUUCUUGAGUAAAGGCUUUGGUGGCUUGAUUCAGGAGAGGUAAAUAGGAGUCAGAAGUUCACGUAUAGCGAGAUAUCACAAGAUUGUUACUUAUUUCAUUAAAAUAGUCUGUAAGCAUUCCUGACUUCUUUCUGCCAUUGAUUGCUACGGUACAAUUCUUACAGGCUUAAAUUCAGGCAGAAUAUGGGUCCUACAGUAAAUCUCUAGGGCUGAGCUGUACUGUAGAGAAAGAAGACGCCCUAUACUCCCCCAAACACUUCCUGACUGCGGACACAAUGGUGGUAAGUCAUUUAGCACAUCUGCAGCUUUCAUAUGUCUGAUGUAUAUCUAUGUGUGCAUUGGGACUCAUCCCUAAUGAAGUGACCUUUUUUGUGGAAGAUGUCUUGCAUAUUUUCUUUGUCACAGAUGUUUAUCAGUUUGUCCUGACAAAAUGAUGAGUAACGAUUAGUUGAAACAAUCUGGCCGCUAGCUUUGAUGUUGGUUCUGCCAUGCAUGUGCUCUGCACAAAUGGAGAACAGCCUUCAUGCAAAUAGAAGGUAUGUUGACCUGGCCCUGGUAACGCAGGCAAGGGCCUGAAUGGAAUAUGAGAAGGAGGGUGGGUUGCAUCUUAAUUUUUAAUGGUGUUUUCACAAAUAAGAUUCUCUACAAAAUGUAUUUUGCCCCAAGUUGAGGUGUGUCUUUGUGGUUUCUUUAUAAUAAAAAAAUCCAAGCCUGAAAAUAGUAGCUUAAUCUUUUUUCCAUGCUAUCAUCUGGCCUUUUUCUGAUAUGGAGACUAGGGAGGGAACUGCUUAUUUUUAAAAAUUAAAGUAAUCCCUUUUUAAAGCCUAUAAACAAAAAUAGUUUUUAAAAGAGAGGUACAAUUUCUGCUAGUUUAAGAAGCGAUCAGCUCAUCUCUGAGUUUUUCUUUUCCUCAACAAUUAACUUUUCACAGUCUCCAAAGCAGGUUAACAAAUAACAGUUUUAAGUCACUUAGUUUCUCUGCUUUUCUUCAUGACUUUUUUUUUUUUUUUUUGCCGAAUGCACAGGCUUUGUAUAUUGUGUGUCCAUUCCUUUUAUGCGCUGUUACAUAAAUAAAUUAUUCCAUUGUUAAAAGUUAAGGUCAGUCACAGGUGACCAGAGGAUAUGAAACUUCUGUUUUAGCCAACUCUCUGGAAGAGGAUUUUGCAAUGCUUCUAAUGAUCCAAGAACUUGCUGAGCCAGAGACAAAUCCAGCCAAUAAUUGUGAUAACUAUGAAAAAUAUUCAUGAGAUGUACAAAUUAGGAGUAAGAUUUGCAUCCAUUUUGUAGAUGGGUAAGUUGAGGGUGGAGUAAGUGAUGUGUGCAUCCUGUGGGAAACAGAGAUAGAUUAGAACUUAAUCCUAACUGACUGUUAAGUUACCCCUGCUAUCCAUCCCAAAAUACUUAGUGCUUUGUAAACAUGCAGGCUAGUCUUUGAGAGUAAUAUGUCUCUUCUAUCAUUUUUAUGCCCAGUUAUAAAAAGAAAUGCAGCUACUUUUAAGACAUACAGGAUGAAAAUGAAAAACUAAUUUAACAAUUUGAAGUUCUGACUUGUGCUGGAAUGUGUAGAUACCUUAUUCAAAAACAGAAUAAAGUGGCGGUUGUACA